rnacentral:rRNA from 1 species
AGCGAACGCUGGCGGCAGGCUUAACACAUGCAAGUCGAGCGCUCGUAGCAAUACGAGAGCGGCAGACGGGAGAGUAACACGUGGGAACGUACCCUUCGGUUCGGAAUAACCCAGGGAAACUUGGGCUAAUACCGGAUACGUCCGUAAGGAGAAAGAUUUAUCGCCGAGGGAUCGGCCCGCGUCCGAUUAGCUAGUUGGUGGGGUAAUGGCCCACCAAGGCGACGAUCGGUAGCUGGUCUGAGAGGACGAUCAGCCUCACUGGGACUGAGACACGGCCCAGACUCCUACGGGAGGCAGCAGUGGGGAAUAUUGGACAAUGGGCGCAAGCCUGAUCCAGCCAUGCCGCGUGGGUGAUGAAGGCCUUAGGGUUGUAAAGCCCUUUCGGCGGGGAAGAUAAUGACGGUACCCACAGAAGAAGCCCCGGCUAACUUCGUGCCAGCAGCCGCCGAAA